rnacentral:rRNA from 1 species
CCUANGGGGGGCAGCAGUGGGGAAUCUUGGGCAAUGGGCGAAAGCCUGACCCAGCGACGCCGCGUGGAGGAUGAAGGCCUUCGGGUCGUAAACUCCUGUCACAGGGGAAGAACAGCCUGUCUGCAAGGACGGGUCUGACGCCACCCUGGGAGGAAGCACCGGCUAACUCCGUGCCAGCAGCUGCGGUAAUACGGAGAGUGCAAGCGUUGCUCGGAUUCACUGGGCUUAAAGGGCACGUAGGCGGUUGGGCGACCCACGUGUGAAAGCCUUCCGCUCAACGGAAGAACUGCGCGUGGAAUUACCCGACUAGAGGAUGGUAGGGGAGCAUGGAACUCCUGGUGGAGCGGUGAAAUGCGUAGAUAUCAGGAGGAACGCCGGAGGCGAAAGCGAUGCUCUGGGCCAUCUCUGACGCUGAGGUGCGAAAGCUAGGGGAGCAAACGGGAUUAGAUACCCCUNUANUC